rnacentral:rRNA from 1 species
UAGGGAAUCUUAGGCAAUAGACGAAAGUCUGACCGAGCAACGCCGCGUGAGUGAAGAAGGUUUUCGGAUCGUAAAACUCUGUUGUUAGAGAAGAACAAGGACGUUAGUAACUGAACGUCCCCUGACGGUAUCUAACCAGAAAGCCACGGCUAACUACGUGCCAGCAGCCGCGGUAAUACGUAGGUGGCAAGCGUUGUCCGGAUUUAUUGGGCGUAAAGCGAGCGCAGGCGGUUUCUUAAGUCUGAUGUGAAAGCCCCCGGCUCAACCGGGGAGGGUCAUUGGAAACUGGGAGACUUAGGUGCAGAAGAGGGGGGUGGAAUUCCAUGUGUAGCGGUGAAAGGCGUAGAUAUAUGGAGGAAAACCAGUGGCGAAGGCGGCUCUCUGGUCUGUAACUGACGCUGAGGCUCGAAAGCGGGGGGAGCAAACAGG